rnacentral:antisense_RNA from 1 species
AGCUCCCUCUUUGCCCACUAGCAGGGCAUUAGCUGGUGCUGAAGACAGUGGCUGCUUGGCGAGCCUGGAUCUCCAAGUGACUCCAAGUGACCCCCUCAGCAACUCCUGAUGAACAGGUACUGUGUGCAGAAAUGUGAUUGAGAUUCAAGUCAGGGCCUCUCUGCCCUUUUCCCUCCAGAAACAAAACCAAGAUAAUUUAUCCUGAACACGGUGAAAAAAGGAAGGGAGGGAGGAGAAAAAGUCCGGGUCUCACCUGGGAUUCUCUGUCUCCUGCAACAUGAAGGAUUUAGCCUGGGAGGAGGUGGUGAGAACUCUGGGAGAGAAAAAAGAAGGAAAGAAUAGUUUUACCCAUGCUGAAGUUAAUUUAAACCUUCACCUAGAG